CACGAACUUAGCCCGUGCUUCCUCCAGGGAUCAGUCAAGCCCCUUUCGGGGCCUUCUUCCCCCUCGACAGGAGUUUACAACCCGAAGGCCUUCGUCCUCCACGCGGCGUCGCUCGGUCAGGCUUGCGCCCAUUGCCGAAGAUUCUCGACUGCAGCCUCCCGUAGGAGUCUGGGCAGUGUCUCAGUCCCAGUGUGCCGGGCCACGCUCGCACGCCCGGUAGGCAUCGCAGGCUUGGUGGGCCGUUACCCCGCCAACGACCUAAUACCACGACAGCCCGUCCCACGACGCCGGAGCUUUGGUCCCCGGGAGAUGCCUCCCGCGGACGUCGCUGGGGAUUACCCGCAGUUUCCCGCGGCUAUCCCCAAUCAUGGGGUUGUUACCGUCGCCUUACUCACCCUUGCGCCACUGGCCUUGCGGCCCGUACGACUUGCAUGCCUAAUCCACGCCGCCAACGUUCAUUCUGAGCCAGGAUCAAACUCU
rnacentral:rRNA from 1 species